rnacentral:lncRNA from 1 species
AUCAUGCUCCAAUUAGCGGCUGUGGAUGCAUUAUAUUUCUCUUCAAACUUGGCUUCUCCAGUUCCUAGCGAUAAGACUAGCAUACCCUUUUUCUCUGUGGGUUCCACGCCAGGAAAUUCACCGGUAUGCAUCCUGAUCUGGUUGCGGAUCUCAGAUAUGGCCAAUAAUGCCUGUGGAUGAUUGGAUUGAAUUGGUUACUCUUAGCCAUGCUAUUGUAAACUGUAAGUACUUUUUCAUGUAACCUAGCUAGAUACUUACAGGGUUAUUUGCCGCAACCGCACCAUCAACCAGGUCGAAAUUGCGAGCGGACGUUCCAUUGGGAUCCUUGGUCGUGAAGAAGUGUGCUGGCAAGUACGUUGGAGCUGCAGAGGUGGCCACACAAAUGUCUGCUAGCCUAGCAUUUUUCAAAGCAUUAGUCUUUCCCUGUAAAACAAAAGAAAAAUUAAAGAUCACUUAAUUUGUGACUUUCGAAGUACAGAAAGAUUUUUCUAACUGGCUUAAUAGAUACUAGCAUCAU